GGGCUAGGCUGGUCUUGAACUUCUGACCUCAGGUGAUCUGCCUGCCUCAGCCUCCCAAAGUGCUGGGAUUACAGGCAUGAGCCGCUGCACCCCGCUGACACAAUAAUUCUUAAUGUGUAUUCACCUAACAGCAGGGCAUCCAAAUAUGUAAGGGAAAAACUGAUAAAACUGCAAGAAGACCUGGGUGAAUCUACUAUUAUAGUUGGAGACUUUAACACUCCUCUAACAGAAAUGGACACAGUCAGCAGGCAGAAAACCAGUAAGGACACAGUUGAAUUCAACAACACUAUCAAUCAACUGUAUAUAAUUGACAUCUACAGAAUAUUUCAUCCAGCAGCAGGCAGCAGAUUACAAUUCUUCUCAAAAUCACAUGGAGCAUUCACCAAGACAGAUCACAUUCUGGGCCAUAAAACACACCUCAACAAAUAUAAAAGAAGUCAUAUAGUGUCUGCUUUCAGACCUCAUGAAAUUAAACUAGAAAUUGAUAUCAGAAAGAUAGCUGAAAAUCACAAAUACCUGGAGAUUAAACAACAUACGUCUAAGUAAUAUAUGAGUGAAAGAAAAAGUCUGAUGAAGAGAGUUAAAAAUAUUUGAAAUAAAUGAAAAUAUAACUUAUCAAAAUGUCUAAGAUACAGCAAAAGCAGUGCUUAGAAAUUUAUAGUAUUGAAUACAUAUAUUAGAAAAGAAGAUUUAAAAUCAUUAAUCCAGCUUUCAGCUUUUAGCUCAGAGAAGGCCAAGGUGCAACUUUCUUCAGUUGUCAUGAAUCUGAGUUCAUACAACACCAGCCAUCUCCACCAUGCCAUCGAAGAAAAAAGUAAAAUAAAAUAAUUAAUCCAAUAUUCUGCCUUAGGAAACUAGAAAAAGAAGAGCAAAUUAAAUCCAAAUAAGCAGAAUAAAAUAAAUGAAAAUUAUAGCAGAAAUCAAUGAAACUGGAAGCAGAAAACCAAUAGAGAAAAAUAACACGACCAAAAUCUAGUUUAAAAAAAAUCAAUAUAGUUGAUAAACCUCUAGCCAGGCUUACUAAGAAAAAGAGAAGACACAAUUACUAAUAUCAGAAGUGAAAGAGAAGCAUCACUACAGAUCCCAUGGACACUAAAAGAAUAAUAAAGGAAUAUUAUUAAUAACUCUAUGUCCACACAUUUGAUAACCUACUUAAAGACACAAUCUGCCAAAAUUAACACAAAAAGAAAUCAAUACUUUUAAUAAACCUAUAUUGAUUAAAAAAAUUGGAUUAAUAACUAAUAAACUUCCAAAACAGAAAUCACCAGACUCACAUGGAUUCAUUAGUGAAUUCUAUCAAACAUUUAAGGAAGAAAUUAUACCAAUCCUAUACAAUCUGUUCCAGAAGACAGAAGCAGAGGGGAUACUUCCUAAAUCAUUCUAUGAGGCUGGCAUUACCCUAAUAUUCAAAUUAGACAAAGA
rnacentral:lncRNA from 10 species